rnacentral:snoRNA from 2 species
UUGCAGUGAUGAUAACUUUAUGAUUAUUUACAAUGAAAGUGUUUUAAAAACGCUUAAUGAACGGUCGACAAAAUGUCGAACCUGAGCGGUUAGCUGAGCAA